ensembl:lncRNA
CGCCUACUUGAAACGCAAACCAGCAUGAGGGCAGGCAGGAUUGACAAAGGGACAGGAUGUUGUUGAUUUGUACCGAAACCACACGGAGGAAAUGAGUGUGAAUUUCCUUUCUCUCUGACAUCCCUGAGAGUGUGCGCGUGCGUGUGUGUGCGCGCGCGCUUGUGUGCGUGUGUGUGUGUGUGUGUGUGUGCGUGUCUCUCUCUGCAGCCCCCCCCUGCCACCACUCUUGCUCCCCUCCCCUCCCUCAGCUUGGGGCUUUUAACCAGUCAAAGGUUAACAGUUGCCCCAUUAUCCUUUUGCACACAUCACCAUGGUAACCACUACACCUCCAAAUUGGGAUCAUUGUUUUGGACAAAGCUGGUGAAAGAGUUGGGGAGGCAAAGAAUUUAUUUUGUUGGUAUGUGGAUUAAUCAGCAAUACAGGGAUCUUUUGAAUAAAAAAGGAACCGUACUCUCCACGAAGGUCCAGAGGGACAAAAGGCUGCAUUGUGAUGCGGAGCAUUUACUGUAGAUGCUUGCAGAUUUCCGUGCGCAGCUGUGUGGCUUCCAGGCACGGCCCACAUGAAGCGCUUGUUGAAUUGUAGAUUUCUUGUCGGUGUGAUCAUCCAGGCAUACAUGCACGGAAGGGAAGGCCUAGAUUUCUCUCCAGAGUCUUCCCUCCCGAGCUUCCUUCCUGCCACAUCUGCCGGCUACUGCUGUGAGCUUGAGAUUUCUAAUGGACAGGCGCAUCUGCUUCGAUAGCAGUUUGACUAUUUUUUUUUUUUUUUACCACUGUGCAAAUCUAACAAACCCUUAAUUAUUUGGAGUUUUAUGAUCUUGUUUCUACUAAAAAUGUCCACUUGGACUGUUCCAGAUGAUUGUUUCUCCUCCAGACUAAACCACAUUUCUCUCUAAAUCAAAUUACAAUGUCGUUAGCCUCCUUGUUUUUAAGUCUAUCACUCGAUGUUUUUUCACUAAUCUGUUGGCGUUUGUACGUCAUGGCUUUCCGAAACCCCCCAAAACACAAGAUCUUUAGAAAAGCUGGCCAUUGUUAAAUGCGUGUGUGUGUGUCUGUCAGUGUGAGUGCUUAAAUGCAAUUCACAAAGAUGUCUCUGAGCUCACAGCUUACAUCAAAAGCUUCCUGUAGCAGGUAAGCCGU